GUAGGUGGCAAGCGUUGUCCGGAAUUGUUGGGCGUAAAGCGCGCGCAGGCGGUCCUUUAAGUCUGAUGUGAAAGCCCACGGCUCAACCGUGGAGGGUCAUUGGAAACUGGGGGACUUGAGUACAGAAGAGGAAAGCGGAAUUCCAAGUGUAGCGGUGAAAUGCGUAGAGAUUUGGAGGAACACCAGUGGCGAAGGCGGCUUUCUGGUCUGUAACUGACGCUGAGGCGCGAAAGCGUGGGGAGCAAACAGGAUUAGAUACCCUGGUAGUCCACGCCGUAAACGAUGAGUGCUAAGUGUUAGGGGGUUUCCGCCCCCUUAGUGCUGCAGCUAACGCGUUAAGCACUCCGCCUGGGGGAGUACGGCCGCAAGGCUG
rnacentral:rRNA from 1 species